CCUACGGGGGGCAGCAGUGAGGAAUAUUGGUCAAUGGGCGCGAGCCUGAACCAGCCAAGUCGCGUGAGGGAAGACGGUCCUAUGGAUUGUAAACCUCUUUUGUCGGGGAGCAAAAGCCGCCACGCGUGGCGUUCCGAGAGUACCCGAAGAAAAAGCAUCGGCUAACUCCGUGCCAGCAGCCGCGGUAAUACGGAGGAUGCGAGCGUUAUCCGGAUUUAUGGGGGUUAAGGGGUGCGUAGGCGGAAUGCCAAGUCAGCGGGAAAAUCGCGGGGCUCAACCUCGCUCCGCCGUUGAAACUGGCGUUCUUGAGUGGGCGAGAAGUAUGCGGAAUGCGUGGUGUAGCGGUGAAAUGCAUAGAUAUCACGCAGAACUCCGAUUGCGAAGGCAGCAUACCGGCGCCCAACUGACGCUGAAGCACGAAAGCGUGGGUAUCGAACAGGAUUAGAUACCCGGGUAGUC
rnacentral:rRNA from 1 species